UACGUAGGGUGCAAGCGUUAAUCGGAAUUACUGGGCGUAAAGCGUGCGUAGGCGGUUUGUUAAGUCUGCUGUGAAAUCCCCGGGCUCAACCUGGGAAUGGCAGUGGAUACUGGCAAGCUAGAGUGUGUCAGAGGAUGGUGGAAUUCCCGGUGUAGCGGUGAAAAUGCGUAGAGAUGUGGAGGAAUACCGAUGGCGAAAGGCAGCCCCCUGGGCCAAUACUGACGCUCAUGCACGAAAAGCGUGGGGGAGCAAAACAGG
rnacentral:rRNA from 1 species